ACUUCUUCUGGCUGAGGUGGCCAUUCUGGCCUAGGGACACACACAGACCUCUCAACACCACGCGCAAGAAGAAUGUGGCGCAGAAUCUGCACCACGGGGAUUCCGACGACGAGGAGGAUGAGAUAUUCAGCCGCGAUAGUCUUCCAGGCCCAGCUGGGGACAGCAGAGAAGCCCUGACGGAAAGGACAGCACCAGAGGAGUUGGCGGAGGUCGACGAGGAGACGGAGUGGCCCCAAGGGGAGGAGGCGGCGUAGUGACUCCAACUCAAAAAAUGAAGAUAAAAUAAAAUACCUGUGUUACAAGCAGUCCUGGCCAUGUGAUAAUAAAUUAAAAUGUAAAUAGCAAAA